AGUGAACGCUGGCGGUAGGCCUAACACAUGCAAGUCGAACGGCAGCACAGUAAGAGCUUGCUCUUACGGGUGGCGAGUGGCGGACGGGUGCGGAAUACAUCGGAAUCUACUUUUUCGUGGGGGAUAACGUAGGGAAACUUACGCUAAUACCGCAUACGACCUACGGGUGAAAGCAGGGGAUCUUCGGACCUUGCGCGAUUGAAUGAGCCGAUGUCGGAUUAGCUAGUUGGCGGGGUAAAGGCCCACCAAGGCGACGAUCCGUAGCUGGUCUGAGAGGAUGAUCAGCCACACGGGAACUGAGACACGGUCCAGACUCUUACGGGAGGCAGCAGUGGGGAAUGUUGGACAAUGGGCGCAAGCCUGAUCCAGCCAUACCGCGUGGGUGAAGAAGGCCUUCGGGUUGUAAAGCCCUUUUGUUGGGAAAGAAAAGCAGCAGGUUAAUACCCCACUGUUCUGACGGUACCCAAAGAAUAAGCAACGGCUAACUUCGUG
rnacentral:rRNA from 1 species